GCUGUGAUGGGUAGGGGAGCGUCGUGUGCCGGGUGAAGCAGCACCGGAAGGUAGUUGUGGACGGUUCACGAGUGAGAAUGCAGGCAUGAGUAGCGAUACACACGUGGGAAACGUGUGCGCCGAUUGACUAAGGGUUCCUGGGUCAAGCUGAUCUGCCCAGGGUAAGUCGGGACCUAAGGCGAGGCCGACAGGCGUAGUCGAUGGACAACCGGUUGAUAUUCCGGUACCCGCUUUGAAGCGCCAACGCUGAAUCCAGCGAUGCUAAGCCCGUGAAGCCGCCGGUUGAGUCUUCGGACGAGGUCGGAGUGGUGGAGCCGGUGAACCGGACUGGUAGUAGGUGAGUGAUGGGGUGACGCAGGAAGGUAGUCCAGCCCGGGCGGUGGUUGUCCCGGGGUAAGGGUGUAGCCCGAGGGGUAGGUAAAUCCGUCCUUCACAUAGGGGUGAGACCUGAUGCCGAGCCGAUUGUGGCGAAGUGGAUGAUCCUAUGCUGUCGAGAAAAGCCUCUAGCGAGUUUCAUGGCGGCCCGUACCCUAAACCGACUCAGGUGGUCAGGUAGAGAAUACCGAGGCGUUCGGGUGAACUAUGGUUAAGGAACUCGGCAAAAUGCCCCCGUAACUUCGGGAGAAGGGGGGCCAUGUCUGGUGAACACUCUUGCAGUGGGAGCUGGGUGUGGCCGCAGAGACCAGCGAGAAGCGACUGUUUACUAAAAACACAGGUCCGUGCGAAGCCGUAAGGCGAUGUAUACGGACUGACGCCUGCCCGGUGCUGGAACGUUAAGGGGACCGGUUAGCUCCAUUUCGGUGGGGCGAAGCUGAGAACUUAAGCGCCAGUAAACGGCGGUGGUAACUAUAACCAUCCUAAGGUAGCGAAAUUCCUUGUCGGGUAAGUUCCGACCUGCACGAAUGGCGUAACGACUUCUCGACUGUCUCAACCAUAGGCCCGGUGAAAUUGCACUACGAGUAAAGAUGCUCGUUUCGCGCAGCAGGACGGAAAGACCCCGGGACCUUUACUACAGUUUGAUAUUGGUGUUCGGUUCGGCUUGUGUAGGAUAGGUGGGAGACUGUGAAGCUUGGACGCCAGUUCAGGUGGAGUCGUCCUUGAAAUACCACUCUGGUCGUGCUGGAUGUCUAACCUGGGUCCGUGAUCCGGAUCAGGGACAGUGUCUGAUGGGUAGUUUAACUGGGGCGGUUGCCUCCUAAAGGGUAACGGAGGCGCCCAAAGGUUCCCUCAGCCUGGUUGGCAAUCAGGUGUUGAGUGUAAGUGCACAAGGGAGCUUGACUGUGAGACCGACGGGUCGAGCAGGGACGAAAGUCGGGACUAGUGAUCCGGCGGUGGCUUGUGGAAGCGCCGUCGCUCAACGGAUAAAAGGUACCCCGGGGAUAACAGGCUGAUCUUCCCCAAGAGUCCAUAUCGACGGGAUGGUUUGGCACCUCGAUGUCGGCUCGUCGCAUCCUGGGGCUGGAGUCGGUCCCAAGGGUUGGGCUGUUCGCCCAUUAAAGCGGUACGCGAGCUGGGUUUAGAACGUCGUGAGACAGUUCGGUCCCUAUCCGCUGUGCGCGUAGGAAUAUUGAGAAGGGCUGUCCCUAGUACGAGAGGACCGGGACGGACGAACCUCUGGUGUGCCAGUUGUUCUGCCAAGGGCAUGGCUGGUUGGCUACGUUCGGGAGGGAUAACCGCUGAAAGCAUCUAAGCGGGAAGCCUGCUUCGAGAUGAGUAUUCCCACCCACUUGAUGGGGUAAGGCUCCCAGUAGACGACUGGGUUGAUAGGCCGGAUAUGGAAGCACUGUGAGGUGUGGAGUUGACCGGUACUAAUAGGCCGAGGGCUUGUCCUCAGUUG
rnacentral:rRNA from 1 species